GAAACGGUAGCUAAUACCGCAUAACGUCGCAAGACCAAAGAGGGGGACCUUCGGGCCUCUUGCCAUCGGAUGUGCCCAGAUGGGAUUAGCUUGUUGGUGAGGUAACGGCUCACCAAGGCGACGAUCCCUAGCUGGUCUGAGAGGAUGACCAGCCACACUGGAACUGAGACACGGUCCAGACUCCUACGGGAGGCAGCAGUGGGGAAUAUUGCACAAUGGGCGCAAGCCUGAUGCAGCCAUGCCGCGUGUAUGAAGAAGGCCUUCGGGUUGUAAAGUACUUUCAGCGGGGAGGAAGGGAGUAAAGUUAAUACCUUUGCUCAUUGACGUUACCCGCAGAAGAAGCACCGGCUAACUCCGUGCCAGCAGCCGCGGUAAUACGGAGGGUGCAAGCGUUAAUCGGAAUUACUGGGC
rnacentral:rRNA from 1 species